rnacentral:rRNA from 1 species
GUUCUUUAGAUUAUAUUUUAAGAUUUGGCCUGCCCUAUGAUUUAAAAAUUAAAUGGCUGCGGUAUUUUAACCGUACAAAGGUAGCAUAAUCAUUUGUCUUUUAAUUGAAGGCUUGAAUGAAUGGUUUGAUGAAAAAUUAGCUUUUUUAAAUUAAAUUAUUGAAUUUAAUUUUUAAUUUAAAAAGAUUAAAUAUUUUUAUGGGACGAGAAGACCCUAUAGAAGUUUAUUAAGUUAUUAAUUAAUUUAAUUUAGUUAUUUAUUUAAUUUAAUUUUUAAUUUAAUUUUGUUGGGGUGACAUAUAAAAAUUUAUAACUUUAUAAUUUAAUAUUUCAAAUAUUUUUGAUUAAUUGAUCCAGUUAAUACUGAUUAUUAGAUUAACUUACCUUAGGGAUAACAGCGUAAUUAAUUUGGAGAGUUCAUAUUGAUAAAUUAGUUUGCGA